UGGUGGAGUGAUUUGUCUGGUUAAUUCCGAUAACGAACGAGACCCCAACCUGCUAAAUAGUGGGCGCUAUUUCACGAUAGCGACUCUACUUCUUAGAGGGACAUUUCGGGCUUACCGGAAGGAAGUUUGGGGCGAUAACA
rnacentral:rRNA from 1 species